rnacentral:lncRNA from 1 species
UUUUCUUCCUUGUAAAAGCAUUCCUGAACUGAAUUUAAGUAGUUUCAUCAUCAAUGGCUUAUAGAUGUCACUUACAGACACUUAUGUUACAGGCAAAUCAGGGCAGCUCCUCCUCAUGCCGUCCACACUACAGUAUGAGUCUGUGGCCCCGGCUCAGCGGUGGUCGGAAGCUAAAAGAGGAAGCGGUUAGGAUUCAGGAGAGGGUGGGGAGAACCCAGGCCUGCUUCUAUGCUAGAUCCCUGCUCCUGGUGCUGCGCUAUAAUUCUGGCUCUCAGCAAGAGCUGGACCAAGUCACUCAGCUCGGGAAGCCAUUGCCACACUGAGAGUACGCAUGGUGUGAGAGUACGCAUGGUGUGAGAGUACGCAUGGUGUGAGAGUACGCAUGGUGUGAGAGUACGCAUGGUGUGAGAGUAUGCAUGGUGUGAGAGUACGCAUGGUGUGAGAGUACGGCGUGUAAGUUCUUCUAGCCUUGGAUCUGGAAAGUAAAUCUUCCUCUCCGGUGUCCGAGGGAAAGUUCUUCAAAGGAGUGGUGCCUCCCUAUCCGCAGCGUUGACUGCUGCCUGAGGAGCCUGCUGAGUACCCUCCCAGAGCUGGGAAGACCUCAUAAAGCGUGCCGUACACGCUUGAGGACCUGAGUUCGAGUCCCCAGAAGCCAUAUAAAGCUGACUAGUGUGGCAUAUAUCUAGAAUCCAGUAUUCCUGUGGUGAGGUGGGAGGUGGAAACGGGAGACCUCCCCUGCUCCCACCCCCUGGACGCCCCAGGGCUAGCGGUCAGGACAGAUAUCAAAGGUUGCUCUCUAACUUCACACAUGCUCACUGGCUCGCCAACGCCGCCCCCUCCCCCUCCCCAGCACACACCCCUAUGCAUCUCCAACACACAAAGGGUUUGUUUGUUUUUUGUUUUUUGUUUUUCUUCUCACACUGUCACAUUAAGAAUGCUUAAAAGAAGUAAAAUCACAAGGUGAUUUUUUUGUUGUUGUUUGUUUUUCCGAGACCGGGUUUCUCUGUGUAGCCCUGGCCUCGAACUCAGAAAUCCGCCUGUCUCUGCCUCCCAAGUGCUAGGAUUAAAGGCGUGCGCCACCACUGCCGGGCACAAUGUGAUCUUUUAUUCGCGUUUAGUUGGAAGCUUUUCAAGAUAGUGAAGAAUGAACCUCAACUGUAACUGAAAGUGUGAACAACAGUCUGAGCUCGUAUGUUUUGUUUUGGGGUUUUUUUGUUUUGUUUUGUUUUGUUUUGUUUUUUGUUGUUGUUGUUUUUCCAAGACAGGGUUUCUCUGUAUUGAUCUCUUUCUUAAGACAGAAGUCAAAAUAACAAAACUUUGCAGAUCUGGUAGUCUCUUUACUCCAAAGCCUAACUAUAAUUCUGUUUGAUACAUGAGGAGUAUCUUAACUGCCACAGAACUGGGCAUCUCUUUUUGGAGCAGUUAUUUAACCAUUGGUACCUAAACAACUGUGGUGAUUAGCAAGUCUUUAACUGCUAGCUCACUUUGCAUAUGACAAAAGAGAACAUAAUUUAACUUAGCUAAGAUCACAUAACUAACAGACUCUGGUACUGGGUAUUAUACGUAUAAGACCGUGGUGUGGAUUUGAAUUGUUUUAUUAAUUAUGUAUCAAAAAAGUUAUGAAUACAUUCUCCUCAUAAGACAUUUCAGAAUACUUAACAUUUCUAAUUAUUCUUUAAAAAAAAAAAACAUUAUUUCCAUGUGGCCCAGUUAGAAUCUGAGACCCCUGUGAGAGGCUAGAGAUACAUGUUUUCAAUAGGAGUAAUAAAACAAUUGCCUGUAUUGGGUACUUACCAGGGAAACCAUGUGCUAAGUACUGGUAACAAGAGGUAACUGACUUGAAAUACUAUUGUGCGGACUGCUCUUCCGUCUAGGUCACUCGUGCACUACUCAGCUGCAACCCCAGCACCAGCUGCUCUAAAGGCAAAUCUGCACUGGAGUGUUCAGGCCAGAGAAGCAGAUACUGCUGUUGUCUGGCUCUGGAGCAAAUAGAAGCCUUACUAAUUAGCGUAAUGGAUUCAGAAAGAGUAUUGGAAUGGUGCAAUCCUUGCCUUGCUACUUUGCAUGAUAGUGAUCCUAUAGGGGCUACCAUUGAUAUCCCCGUGGACAGCCCAAAACUUUAGAAACCCUGUUUGCUUGCCUUAAGAAUUAGUAGGUCCCACAGCCUGCACAGGAAGCCACUGACAGUGCCAGAGCUUGACCCCCACCUGGUUUGAGGGGCCUGUGCCUGCCCGAGACUAUGCAGCCUUCUCUGCCUGUAGCUGUGUGGGAACUGUGGCUGUCACCUCCUGCAGGCUCCAGAAUGUGUCAGGAAGGACAGAACUAGAGUUCUGGUUGAUAGCCAAGGUCUAUCUUCUCAUGCUGAGUCUUUUUUGCAAGAGAGGUCCAGCCUGGCUAGGGGAUUUUUGUUCAUAAAAUAUAGUUUUUUAAAAUGUUCUCGGCUGAAACUUUUAGGCUUCCUUGUCCUAAAUAUAGUUUUCCU